UUGUUCAUAGUAAUCUUUCAUGAUCUUUUGUAUUUCUGUGAUGCCAGUUUUAAUUUCCCUUUCAUUUCUGAUUUUAUUUAUUUAGGCCUGCUCUCCUUUUCUCAUGAUGAGUCUGCCUAAAAGUUUAUCUGGUUAUCUUUUUCAAAAGAACAGGCCUGUUUCACUCAUCCUUUCUGUUGUGCUUCAGUCUCUGUUUCAUUUAUUUAUGCUAUAGUCUUUAUUAUUUCUUUCUUCUAACUUUAGGUUCUGUUUAUUCUUUAUCUGUCUUUUUCUUUAUGCUUUAUUUUUAUCUGUUAUUCUCUUAGGUGUAAAGUUAGAUUGUUCAUUUGAGGUUGUUCUUGUUUCCUGAGGUAGGCCUACAUUGAUAUCCACUUCCCUCUUUAGAACUGCCUUUGCUGCAUCCCAUAAAUUUUGGAAUAUUGUGGUUAUAUUUUCAUUUGUUUCAAAGUAUUUUUUAUUUUCUCUUUGAUUUCUUCAAUAACCCAUUGACUAUUUAGCAGAAUGUUGUUUAGACUCAACAUUUGUGGGUUUUUUUCUAGUUUUUUUUUUCCCUUGCUGUUUUAUUUAUGGUUGUCUCUGCUCUAUAAGAGCUUAUAAGUUUGACUAGGUCUUAUUUGUUUAUUCUUCUUUUUAUUUCUAUUGCCUUAGGAGGCUGACCUAAGAAAACAUUUGUAUGAUUUACAUCAGAGAAUGUUUUGCCUAUGUUUUACUCUAGGAGUUUCAUGGUGCCAUGUCUUACAUUUGUCUUUAAGCCAUUUUGAGUUUGUUUUUGUGUGUGCUAUGAGGGUGUGUACUAGCUCCAUUGGUUUACAUGUAGCCAUCCAGCUUUCCCAACACCACUUGCUGAAGAGACUGUCUUUUCUCCAUUGUAUAUUCUUGCUUCCUUGUCUAAGAUUAAUUGACCAUAGGUGGGUAGGUUUAUUUAUGGGAUCUUCAUUCUGAACCACUGAUCCUUGUCUGUUUUGUGCCACACCAUUUUGAUUACUGCAGCUUUGUAAUGUUGUCCAACAUCUGGGAGGGUUAUGCCUCCUGCUUCCUUCUUUUUCCUCAGGACGGCUUUGGCAAUUCAGGGUCUUUAAAGUUCCAUACAAAUUUUAGGAUUAUUUGUUCUAGUUCUAUGAAAAGUGUCAAGGGCAAUUUGAUAAGGAUCAGUUUAAAUUUGUAGAUUGCUUUUGAUAGUACGGCCAUUUUAACAUUAAUACUUCCAAUCCAAGAGCAUGUAAUAUCUUUCCAUUUCUUUGAAUCUCAUCUUCAAUUUCCUUUAUCAAUGUUUUAUAGUUCUCAGCAUGUAAGUGUUUUACACUCCAUGGUUAGGUUUAUUCCUAAGUAUUUUUAACACAAUUGUAAAAGGGAUUUUUUUUUUUUACAUUCCCUUUCUGUUAUUUCACUGUUAGCGUAAAGAAAUGCAACAGAUUUCUGUAUGUUAAUCUUGUGUCCUACUUCCUUGCUGAGUUUAUCAGUUUUAGCAGUUUUUCUGUGGAGUCUUUAGGGUUUUAUCUGUAAAGUAUCAUGUCAUUUUUUAUAUGUAAAAAAACUCACGUCCAUCUGCAUAUACUGACAAUUUUAUGUCUUUCCUUCCAAUCUGGAUACAUUUUAUUUCUUUUUCUUGUCUGAUUACUGUGGCUAGGACUUCCAAUAGAAUAGACGCUGUGAGAGUGAAUAUCCUUGUCUUGCUCCAGAAUGUAUCAGCAAGGCUUUCAGCUUUUCACUGUCAAAUAUUAUGCUGGUUAUGGUUUUGUCAUAAAUAACCUAUUAUUUUGAGAUAUGUUCCCUCUAUACCCACUUUGGUAAGAGUUUUUAUCAUGAAUCGAUAAUGAAUUUCAUCAAAUGCUUUUUCUGCAUCUACUGAGAUGAUCAUAUGGUUUUUAUCUUUUCUUUUGUUGAUGUGGUGUAUCAUACUAAUUGAUCUGCAUAUGGUAAAACUUUUGUGACACUGGGAGGAAUCCAAAUUGACUGUGGUGUAUGAUCCUUUUUAUAUGUUGUUAGAUUCAGUUCACUAAUAUUUUGUUGGGAAUUUUUAUAUCUAUAUUCAUCAAACAUAUUAGACUAUAAUUUCCCUUUUUGGUAGUGUCUUUGGUUUUGGUAUCAGGAUGAUGGUGGCUUCAUAAAAUGUUUUGGGACUGUUCCCUCCUCUUAAAUCUUUUGGAAAAGUUUGAGAACGAUUGUUUAAGGUUUUCUUUUAUGUUUGGUAGAAUUCUCCAGUGAUGCCAUCUGGUCUUGGACUUUGGUUUGCAGGGAGGUGUUUUGGGUUUUGUUUUUAAUUUACAUAUUCUAUUUCACUUCUAGUGAUUUAUCUGUUCAAAUUAUCUAUUUCUUCUUGACUGAGUUUUGAUGGAUGUGUCCUUCUAGGAACUUGCUUUUUCUAAGGAAGCAUCUAUAAGCAUAAAUUAAGCAAGAUGAAUAUUUUAUAAUUGGAGACUACACUCAAGUUCAAGGUUCAACUGCCUAACUUUUUAUAGAAAUGACCAUAAUCACUGCAUUUAGACAUUUUCUGUACUAUGUAGCAUAAAAAUUUCCAAAGUUCAUAGAAGCCAAGGAGUCUAGUAACUAAUCUUGUUAUAUAUUAUUGUUAUAUCUUAUCAUAUAUUAUUUGACAUGACCCAGCACUAAUAUAACCUGAGUUCUACUGUUUUCUCAUCAAGCCUAGCACCAUAAAAUUCAAAAUGGACUCUUCAGAAACAUUUUUACAGAUAGCAUCAAAGGGAUUUCAGGCCUCCUGAGAAUUUUAAGCCUUUUCUUUCCUAGGCAUGUUUUACUUGCUUUUAAUUAUAGAUUCCCUUAUAGCAAACCAACUUUCUUCAAAUCAAGUUUUAGCCUUUUUCAAGAAUAUCCAAAGUAGGAUUCAUCUUCUCAAAACUGGCUAUGCAAAGUAUAAACUUACCUUAAGUUUGCCAAGUAAUAUGUACCUAUAAAUCACUAAGUAGUUAGAUUUGCUUUUUUCAAUCUAACCCAUUAACUUAAAUUUAUUGAACUGAAAUAUCAUAAAAAGUUUAAAAAGCCAACAAAAUAAAAUUUAAACCUAACCAUAAAAAGCUGGGUGUGUGUAUUAGGAUGUGUUAGUAUUGCCUCAGCAUCUGAAGGAGAUAUCCUGGUCAAUCUAUUAGGAAACACAUUCAACCAGCACGCCUCUUGACAUUCAGAGGCUAUGCGGUGACCCCAGCUGUGUUUUUAAUAAGGAGUGCAACUGACAAAACUGUAAGCAGCCUUAUUCUAACAGCUAAAUAUAGGCCUAACCCUUCAUGAUCUUAUGUUAAUACUUGGUAUUUACAAUGUAUUUCUUCUGAAUUGAUGUAGCAAACCAACAAAAUGGGUCACCCACCACAUUCCAUCCUUUCCUAAGUCAUUUUCCAACUGCAUUUGUGGUUUUGAGUAAAGCUCCAACCUAAAAGCCUUAAAAUAUCUUCUUGAGUAAUGGUCACAUUCUUUUCCCUUAAAGACUGGGUGAGUGCAACUAGUUUAAAAUAGGUUCAUAUUCCCCAAUAAAUAAGCAUCGGUCCAGAGUAUCAAUCUGACCAGACUUGAAAGAGAGCCACAGAAAACCAAGAAUAUUAAUAGAUGAAAACCAAGAAUAUUAAUAAAAGAUGACGACACUCUUCCCAAGCCCUGGAGCUCAUGUCUAUGCCUCAGGACACAGCUAUUCUCUGCCAGAUGAUUUAGAAAAAUACAAAAUAAAAUUUUUGCAGACUGACCUUUCUCCAGGAUUGAAUCAGUCUGCAGCAAUCUAUAAAUAUUUUCCUGGUCCUCAAGGCAGUUUACAGCUGUAGCAAAUGUCCACAUUUGCUUAGAGCAAGGGGCAGCUGAUACUAGAAAACUGGAAACCUACAGGUUUUCGACUGGGGGAAGUCUGCCUCAUGUCAGUCAUGUUCUGCCCAGGUAGUCGGCCCAGGCAGGGGCUGCUCUGGUUCAAGAACGUGCUCAUUAAUUCUAGUAUCCAGUCCAUUAUCAAAUCACAACCUGGCAUUUAUCUUUCAUUUCUCCCUACCCCAUUAAAGCAAGAGACACCUUACGUUGUUAGUGGAUCAUUUUUCUCACAUGAGACAUGUCUUACAGAGAGAUACAUGUGAUGGCAAAAAAGAGAGAACCAGCUUUUUAGUACAUACAGCUCAAUGACAGAAUGAAAACUAGCAUUACAUAAGUGAAAAGUAAAAAGCUGGGAAAGCAAUGGGAAGAUGAUUACAGAUGGAGGAGAAGCCAGCCUCUAAAUUUCAUCAUGUGCAGCUCAUAGAUUUGAAAUCUCAUGCAGCUGAAGGUUAAAAAUGGAAGCUGAGGCCGUGAUACCUCGCUCCGGGUAAAGCUGCUAGGAGUAGAGGCGAGUCGGAGAAAUUCAAGAUUCUCAUGACCCCGGCAACAUUCGCAUCUCAUCACCAUGAGAACCAUCCCACUGACGGUCUGGAGAGCAUCCGUCACAUCAGCACAGCCUGCCCUGGCUGGAAAGCAUCUCUGUGAUUUAUAGGCAUCGGCAGACGGACUGUGCCCUUUCAGCUCUGCUGGGCGCAUCAGGAAGCUCCAGAGUCAUUUUUGCUGCAAGAAAUUUGUGUCGUCUGUUCAAUUCCACCUUUCUGUGAGCUGAAUUCUCAUUAUCUCACACCCCUAGCAAGGAUCUGCCUGUAAGGUUGGAGUGCCUUUUAAGACUUCCCUCUUCCCUCCAAGGAGCGCCUGCGAAACUUACCACAAAGCGACUCUGUAAUUUCCUAUGAGCAUAAGGGAGCAGUUUGAAGCUUUAUUUCUGUUAAAGAACUUGGAAAAUCACAUCUAUUUUAGAGAUUACCAUCUCUGACCUAUUUCCACAGGGUAGUGGAAGCCUCUCCCUCCUUAAAACAACCCCCCCCCCCAAAAUCCAACAUCUCCCUAAUGCAUAGAGGGUUAAGUUCUAACUCCUUGAAUUGAUGUUUUUGGCCCUCCACAAUCUAGCUCAGGAUUUCAUACCCUCAGCACUACUGACAUUUUGGACCAGAAAAGUAUUUAUGUGGGACUGUCCUGUGAAUUAUACAGUACUGGGGAACACUUUGGCCCCUAGAAACCAGAUACCACCAGCCCCCCCGCCCCUCUCCAGUCGUGACAACCAAACACAUCUCCAGACAUCACCAAGUAUCAUCCCCUGCUGAAAAUCAAUGACCUAACACAAUCCAUCUUGCCAGGAAUUUUUACCAACAGGCCCCCAUAUACAGCUUCUGACGCAGCAAAACAAAUCUUCAGUUAUAGUUUAGACUAUUGCUAGAUUUUCUCAUUUUCAUUGAUCUUUUUCAAGAUCCACCCUAAAUUCCAAUCUCAAAAAAAAAUUUCAGGGCGUGUCAGUUUGAAUCAGUUUUUUACUAUUAUUAUUAUAUUUGAUUUGCAGUGUUCUGUCAUCUCUGCUGUACAGCAAAGUGACCCAGCCACACACACAUAUGUACAUUCUUUUGCUCAGGUUAUCCUUGUGUUGCAUCACAAGUGACUAGAUAUAGUUCCCUGUGCUGUACAGCAGGAUCUCAUUACUUAUCCAAGAGAGUGUAUUUUUUUUUAAAAAAAUCUUCAUUUUACCCCUAGUGCCACACUUAGUAAUUAUGAGCUCAUAUAAGUCUCUUAAUCUGGUCUAUUUAUCAUUACUUAUUAAGAAUAAUAAUAUCUAGCCUGUGUACCUGGUUAUUCUAAGAAGCAAAUAAGAAGAGGUAAAUGGAAUUUGACAAUUACAAAACAUAAAACAAAUGCCGAGUACUAUCAAGAAACCACGGGGUGCCUUCGGCUCUUUCUCCUUUCCAGUUUUUAGCUCUUGCACCGUGAUUUACACAGCGACAACCUCAGCAAGUCGUCAUUAAAUGAAAGCAAAGAAGAUUCCCAGAUGAAGAGCAUUUGCAACAACGACCAGGAAAAUGUGGCAUUUAAUAAAUAUGUUUAAACUAUUUUAUUAAUUUACUCUUUAAUCACAGCUAUUUCAGGAAAAGGUAAUCUAACUUCAGAUUCCAUACUUCCUACAGUCAUCAAUUCCUCACACUUAAAAGAGUUCCAUAUAGGACCAACAACUGUUUUGACGACCCCAUCAUCCCCCUCAAAAAAAAAAAAAAUCUGGUAUUUCACAAAGAGACUUGAGACCACUCCUGAGAAUUUAGGAAACAGCAUUAAGACAUAUUUGAAGGAAGAAAAGGGAAUACAGUCAGGUCUGGGAUUAGGAAGUAAGUGCUGGUUCAACCUCUCCUCCGUCU
rnacentral:lncRNA from 1 species